GUAUUUGGGGGUGAGGGAGGCCCGAUGAGAACCCUUCGGUUCGAGCCGAGCCCCGCGCAGUGGGGCGAGACAACGCCGCCGUCAGGCGGCGGCCCCGCAGGGGUGAGGAGCGAAGCGACGAAUAAUCCCUCUCUCUCCGCCA
rnacentral:sRNA from 1 species